AUACGUAGGGUGCAAGCGUUGUCCGGAAUCACUGGGCGUAAAGAGUUCGUAGGCGGCCUAUCAAGUCAGGUGUGAAAGGCAUUGGCUCAACCAAUGUAAGCACUUGAAACUGUUGGGCUUGAGUGUUGGAGAGGAGAGUGGAAUUCCUAGUGUAGCGGUGAAAUGCGUAGAUAUUAGGAGGAACACCAGUGGCGAAGGCGACUCUCUGGACAAUUACUGACGCAGAGGAACGAAAGCGUGGGGAGCAAACAGGAUUAGAUACCCUGGUAGUCCACGCCGUAAACGAUGAGUGCUAGGUGUCGGGGGCGACAGUCUUCGGUGCCGCAGCUAACGCAUUAAGCACUCCGCCUGGGGAGUACGGUCGCAAGACUGAA
rnacentral:rRNA from 1 species